rnacentral:Y_RNA from 1 species
GUCUGGUCAAAGGUAGUGAGUUAUCUCGAUUGAUUGUUCACAAUCAGUUACAGAUCGAAAUCCUUGCUAUACUCUUUCCCCCCUUCUCACUACUGCACUUGACUAGUCUUAC